GAUAUUUCACUUUCAUGCAAGGUUGCGAUCGCUAACGAUUUUUAUUAGCGACGCUAACGCUAACGCUAAUUUCGAAAAAUGUUAGCGUCGCUAAACUUAUUCGCUAA